UAGGGAAUCUUCCACAAUGGACGCAAGUCUGAUGGAGCAACGCCGCGUGAGUGAAGAAGGUUUUCGGACCGUAAAGCUCUGUUGUUGGUGAAGAAGGAUAGAGGUAGUAACUGGCCUUUAUUUGACGGUAAUCAACCAGAAAGUCACGGCUAACUACGUGCCAGCAGCCGCGGUAAUACGUAGGUGGCAAGCGUUGUCCGGAUUUAUUGGGCGUAAAGCGAGCGCAGGCGGAAGAAUAAGUCUGAUGUGAAAGCCCUCGGCUUAACCGAGGAAUUGCAUCGGAAACUGUUUUCUUGAGUGCAGAAGAGGAGAGUAGAACUCCAUGUGUAGCGGUGGAAUGCGUAGAUAUAUGGAAGAAUACCAGUGGCGAAGGCGGCUCCCUGGUCUGCAACUGACGCUGAGGCUCGAAAGCAUGGGUAGCGAACAGGAUUAGAUACCCUGGUAGUCCAUGCCGUAAACGAUGAGUGCUAAGUGUUGGGAGGCUUCCGCCUCUCAGUGCUGCAGCUAACGCAUUAAGCACUCCGCCUGGGGGAGUACGACCGCAA
rnacentral:rRNA from 1 species